rnacentral:tRNA from 1 species
GUAAAUAUAGUUUAAGAAAAAUACUAGAUUGUGAUUCUAGGGACAGAGGUUAGAGUCCUCUUAUUCACC